rnacentral:lncRNA from 1 species
UUUUUUUUUUUUUUGACCUGUGUACUAGAUUGCCUCCUUUCCUGCUCUGAAUUUUAAAAUUAGAUAAAUUAAAGCUGUUAUACAGUUUCCUCACAAAAGUCAACAAAGUCCAAACAAAAAUAGUUUGCUAUUUUACUUUCACCCGUUGAAAAAGGAAACUGUGCCUCUUGCAGCCUAGGCAAAGGACAUUUAGUACAAUAGAUUCUUUCCACCCUCACAAUGACUUGCGGUUCUCUCCGUAGAAAAGGGAUAGCCUAAGAAAUACUACAAUGAAACAACAAACAAACAAAAAACACCAAAAAAAAAAAAAAAAGCCAUGUAAAGCUAGCCCCUAGAGGGAGUCAGUUCAGUUCUGUGGGGCAUGCUCUGUGCCCGCGGCCUGCGAGCUGUUGGGGACCCCAGGGAGAGCAAGGCAGCCUGUCCCUGCCUCCCGGGAGCUAGAACAUGACAAGGGGUCUCAGCACCGUGCCCACCUGUCCCUUUACCUCUCUGGCCCAGAGUUCUUGGAGGGUUUUUCCUUUAUUUUCUUGAGUAUGUGUCAUCUACUUAUUCUCAAAGUAUUUAGCAUUCACACUCUUUUUGCUUUAAAAAGAAUGGCCUUGCAAAGGGACAGAAAAGAGAAGACACAAGCUUGAUGUAUUUUCAUCAAGUUUUGUGGCAGACAGAGAAGUCCAGAUAUUACCAGGACCUUUCUAAACCAAUGUGUGGGGUUUUCUUCAUUCGGAUAGCCACCUUAGGUUGGAAUAUCAAUUUUCUAAUGAGGAGGAAGACAUAAAUAUAAGUGGUAAAAAGAAACAUGACUUCCCUUAAAACAGGCUGGAUAAUCUAUAUCAGCCUUGUGGGUGGAGACUAGUAUUUGAUCCUUGCCAUAUUAUAAAACAUUUUAAUAUGGUUUAGAUGGGAAAAUAUUGAUGCCUUCCUCACAAAAUGUAUGGAUGACAUGAAGUUGAAGAGCUAAUGGCUUGGGUGACACGUGCUGGAUCCAAAAAGAUCAGGGAGACUAGAAUAAAACUUGGAUGUUAAAAAUUCACCAGGAAUCCACAUAAAAUCCUAUAUUUUGACUAAAACGAAAAACUGUAAAUACAAGGUGGGAGAGAGGCAAGAAUUUCUGUUGACUAAGCUCAGUGUGAGUCAAGAAAGUGGGAUGGAACCAUGCAAAAACAAAGCCCACAGACAUGCAGGCUGCGUGAGGAGAAAACUGGUCAGGGUCACAUCACAUUUUGUUUGCAUUUGCCGGAACCAUAUUUUAAGAAGAAAACCGAUCAUCUAUAACAUCAGUUUAUCAAUGCCCCAUCCCGAUGAAGGGUGCAGACUCUCAGAAACAGCAGGAAGGACUUCAUGAGAACCUUCAGGCUGGAGAAGGGACUAGGGCACAAGGAGAGCUCUCCUAGGACCAGGACCAAGAAGCUACAGGGAGGCAGAGUUUAGCUCCUGCAGAGACCCAGCUUCUCACAAGUUGGAGGGACUCUGGUAGGUGGUGACCCACCCAUCAUUGAAGGUGGCAGCAGAGGCCGUUUGCCAGGGAUGCUGGAGAGGGGAUUCAAGCAUCUGGCUGGGCAACAAUGCCCAGGGCCAUCCCCACGCAGGGCUUAGGGGAGUCUAUAAGUAGAAGAGCUUUAGGUGAUUUGUUUGAUGGGGGAAGACAAGUACACAGCUACGCACUUUCCAUUUCUGACUUUUGCCACCCUGUCAGCCAUGGGGAGCC